GACGUAGGUGGCAAACGUUAUCCGGAAUUAUUGGGCGUAAAGGGUGCGUAGGCGGCCAAAUAAGUUAGUGGUGGUAAAUUAGAGCUUAACUCUACGGAAGCUGCUAAUACUGCUUGGCUUUGAGGACAGGAGAGGUUAACGGAAUCCUCUGUGGAGCGGUGAAAUGCAUAGAUAUAGGGGAGAACACCAAAAGGCGAAGGCAGUUAACUAUUCUGUUCCUGACGCUGAGGCACGAAAGCGUGGGGAGCGAAAAGG
rnacentral:rRNA from 1 species